AUUGAACGCUGGCGGCAGGCCUAACCCAUGCAAGUCGAACGAGUGGCGGACGGGUGAGUCAUGUCUGGGAAACUGCCUGAUGGAGGGGGAUAACUACUGGAAACGGUAGCUAAUACCGCAUACCAUCGGAUGUGCCCCGAUGGGAUUAGCUCUUAGGGGGGGUAAAGGGUCACCUAGGCGACGAUCCCUAGCUGGUCUGAGAGGAUGACCAGCCAGACUGGAACUGAGGCACGGUGCAGAUGCCUACGGGAGGCAGCAGUGGGGAAUAUUGCACAAUGGGGGCAAGCCUGAUGCAGCCAUGCCGCGUGUAUGAAGAAGGCCUUCGGGUUGGAAAGUACUUUCAGCGGGGAGGCGUUACCCGCAGAAGAAGAACCGGCUAACGCCGUGCCAGCAGCGGCGGUAAUUC
rnacentral:rRNA from 1 species